CAUGGAGGGUGAGAAUCCCGUCCGGUUGACCUCAGGAUGCUCUACGUUAACGCAUUCUAAGAGUCGAGUUGUUUGGGAUUGCAGCUCAAAAUGGGAGGUAAAUUUCUCCUAAGGCUAAAUACAGGCGAGAGACCGAUAGCGAACAAGUACCGUGAGGGAAAGAUGAAAAGAACUUUGAAAAGAGAGUUAAACAGUACGUGAAAUUGUUGAAAGGGAAACGAUUGAAGCCAGUCGUACUGACGGGAAAUCAACUUCUCGAGUGCUUGUCGUGAAUGACGUUGAGCUUCACGGCCUUCGUUGCUUGCGUUAUGGUGCUUUUGAGGUGUACUUUUCCGUAUGGUAAGUCAACAUCGAUUUUGAUCGUCAUAAAAUGAUCGGAGGAAUGUGGCUCUGAUCUUGUAUCGGAGUGUUAUAGCCUUUGAUAGAUGUGACGAUUGGGAUCGAGGAUUGCAACGAAUACCCUUUGGGCUAUCCGUCUGACCUCUGAAAGUCGCUCGGGUGUCGAAAGCGUGCUUAUAACAUUCUAGUUGGCGGUCAAAAGGUUAGAACGUGAUUACAUUCGUUAAGGAUGUUGACGUAAUGG
rnacentral:rRNA from 1 species